UACGUAGGGGGCUAGCGUUGUCCGGAAUCAUUGGGCGUAAAGCGCGUGUAGGCGGUCCGGUAAGUCCGCUGUGAAACUCGAGGCUCAACCUCGAGACGCCGGUGGAAACUGCAAAGCUAGAGUCCGGAAGAGGAGAGUGGAAUUCCUGGUGUAGCGGUGAAAUGCGCAGAUAUCAGGAGGAACACCCGUGGCGAAAGCGGCUCUCUGGGACGGUACUGACGCUGAGACGCGAAAGCGUGGGGAGCAAACAGG
rnacentral:rRNA from 1 species